rnacentral:lncRNA from 1 species
CGAAGCUUACGGACAUUAAUCAGUGAUAAUAUUCUCGCAUAAAGCCUGCGGGGUUUUAACCCGGAUAUAGUACUGACACAAAUGCCCUUCGGGACUUAUCACAUUUAUGCACUUUCACAUCCAUCACGUUGGCCACUCGGCCCUAUCACAUAUAUACACUUUCACAUUCAUCACAUCGGCCAUUAGGCCUUAUCACAUAUAUACACUUUCACAUUCAUCACAUCGGCCAUUAGGCCUU